UACUUUAUAGGGUCGGAGAUGCCUUCAUACCUGUUACAUAUAUUUCCUGUCGGCACAAAGUUAUAAUACCCUUCUAAAAUUAUAUGAAAAAACUAAUUAUUGGAGCAAUGUGAAUACUUUUCUUUCAAGAUCUUUGCCUUUAUUGCAAAGUAUGAAUUUUAAUAGAUCUGAUAUCUUGGAUGACCCAUGCGCAACAGAGUUGAAAAAUUCGGUAUCACAAUUAAAUUAUCCCCUCAAAUUAACAAUUCCACCUUAUUUGCAUCAUUUAAUCAGUGUUCAAGGGAAACGUUUAAGAAAACAAGGAAUUGAUAGAAAACCUCGUCAAACUUAUAGUGCAAAACAAUUAGAUAUUCUCGAAAGAGAAUUUAAACAGGAUAAAUAUUUAAGCGUAAACAAGCGAAUGGAGCUCUCUAAAACUUUAUCACUGACAGAAGUACAAAUAAAGACAUGGUUCCAGAAUCGUCGAACAAAGUGGAAAAAGCAACUGACAUCACGAAUUAAAAUGGCCCAACGACAAGGGCUAUAUAAGUGUGACAUGUAUCUAUCAAGGAUUCCUACAAAAUCAAGUGUUAAAUCUGGAUACUUUAAUAUGUUUCCUACUUAUUAUUCCGAUUGUCAAUGGUACUUGCCACAACCUUCUUAAAAUUGUUCCUGACUUUAUUUAGAAUUUCAAUUUAUAUUUUAGUCUUUAGAUAUAUCUUGAAGCGACUUUGUACAUAAAUUAAAAAUUGGCUCGAU